GAGGAUUGGGCUGACCCAACUGGAUAGCAAAGAUCUUUAAGGAUCCGAGGUUCAUGUUCAGGUUCACCCAUGGUGGGCUUAAGGUCUACUGGACUCGAUGCAAAGUUUAAAUCUAUUCUCACUAAUUGAUCAGAUAUCCUUAUCCAAGAAGAAAUUUGAGAAUUUUUAAUUAUUUUUAUAUUUUUUUAAGAGAAGAGAAAAUAGAUGAGAAGAGAAUUCUAAGGAUGGGGGCCUA
rnacentral:lncRNA from 1 species